rnacentral:rRNA from 1 species
CCUACGGGAGGCUGCAGUGAGGAAUAUUGGUCAAUGGGCGCGAGCCUGAACCAGCCAAGUAGCGUGCAGGAUGACUGCCCUACGGGUUGUAAACUUCUUUUAUAAAGGAGUACAGUUAGGCACGUGUGCCUUUUUGUAUGUACUUUAUGUAUCAGGAUAGGCUACCUCCGUGCCAGCAGCCGCGGUACUACGGAGGAUCCGACCGUUAUCCGGUUUUAUUGGGUUUAAAGGGAGCGUAGAGGGGUUGUUAAGUCAGUUGGGAAAGUUUGCGGCUCAACCGUAAAAUUGCAAUGGAUACUGGCAGUCUAGAGUACAGUUGAGGUAGGCGGAAUUCGUGGUGUAGCGGUGAAAUGCUUAGAUAUCACGAAGAACCCCGAUUGCGAAGGCAGCUUACUAAACUGUUACUGACAUUGAUGCUCGAAAGUGUGGGGAGCAAACAGGAGUAGAUACCCCGGUAGUC